rnacentral:rRNA from 1 species
GUCUGAAUCAGCUUGUGUGUUAGUGGAAGCGUCUGGAAAGUCGCACGGUACAGGGUGACAGUCCCGUACACGAAAAUGCACAGGUUGUGAACUCGAAGAGUAGGGCGGGACACGUGGUAUCCUGUCUGAAUAUGGGGGGACCAUCCUCCAAGGCUAAAUACUCCUGACUGACCGAUAGUGAACCAGUACCGUGAGGGAAAGGCGAAAAGAACCCCGGCGAGGGGAGUGAAAAAGAACCUGAAACCGUGUACGUACAAGCAGUGGGAGCACCUUCGUGGUGUGACUGCGUACCUUUUGUAUAAUGGGUCAGCGACUUAUAUUCUGUAGCAAGGUUAACCGUAUAGGGGAGCCGAAGGGAAACCGAGUCUUAACUGGGCGUUAAGUUGCAGGGUAUAGACCCGAAACCCGGUGAUCUAGCCAUGGGCAGGUUGAAGGUUGGGUAACACUAACUGGAGGACCGAACCGACUAAUGUUGAAAAAUUAGCGGAUGACUUGUGGCUGGGGGUGAAAGGCCAAUCAAACCGGGAGAUAGCUGGUUCUCCCCGAAAGCUAUUUAGGUAGCGCCUCGUGAACUCAUCUUCGGGGGUAGAGCACUGUUUCGGCUAGGGGGCCAUCCCGGCUUACCAACCCGAUGCAAACUACGAAUACCGAAGAAUGUUAUCACGGGAGACACACGGCGGGUGCUAACGUCCGUCGUGAAGAGGGAAACAACCCAGACCGCCAGCUAAGGUCCCAAAGUCAUGGUUAAGUGGGAAACGAUGUGGGAAGGCACAGACAGCCAGGAUGUUGGCUUAGAAGCAGCCAUCAUUUAAAGAAAGCGUAAUAGCUCACUGGUCGAGUCGGCCUGCGCGGAAGAUGUAACGGGGCUAAACCAUGCACCGAAGCUGCGGCAGCGACGCUUAUGCGUUGUUGGGUAGGGGAGCGUUCUGUAAGCCGUUGAAGGUGGCCUGUGAGGGUUGCUGGAGGUAUCAGAAGUGCGAAUGCUGACAUAAGUAACGAUAAAGCGGGUGAAAAGCCCGCUCGCCGGAAGACCAAGGGUUCCUGUCCAACGUUAAUCGGGGCAGGGUGAGUCGACCCCUAAGGCGAGGCCGAAAGGCGUAGUCGAUGGGAAACAGGUUAAUAUUCCUGUACUUGGUGUUACUGCGAAGGGGGGACGGAGAAGGCUAUGUUAGCCGGGCGACGGUUGUCCCGGUUUAAGCAUGUAGGCGGAACGAUUAGGUAAAUCCGGUCGUUUAUUAACGCUGAGGUGUGAUGACGAGGCACUACGGUGCUGAAGUAACAAAUGCCCUGCUUCCAGGAAAAGCCUCUAAGCAUCAGGUAACAUCAAAUCGUACCCCAAACCGACACAGGUGGUCAGGUAGAGAAUACCAAGGCGCUUGAGAGAACUCGGGUGAAGGAACUAGGCAAAAUGGUGCCGUAACUUCGGGAGAAGGCACGCUGAUAUGUAGGUGAAGCCCCUGCGGGUGGAGCUGAAAUCAGUCGAAGAUACCAGCUGGCUGCAACUGUUUAUUAAAAACACAGCACUGUGCAAACACGAAAGUGGACGUAUACGGUGUGACGCCUGCCCGGUGCCGGAAGGUUAAUUGAUGGGGUUAGCGGCAACGCGAAGCUCUUGAUCGAAGCCCCGGUAAACGGCGGCCGUAACUAUAACGGUCCUAAGGUAGCGAAAUUCCUUGUCGGGUAAGUUCCGACCUGCACGAAUGGCGUAAUGAUGGCCAGGCUGUCUCCACCCGAGACUCAGUGAAAUUGAACUCGCUGUGAAGAUGCAGUGUACCCGCGGCAAGACGGAAAGACCCCGUGAACCUUUACUAUAGCUUGACACUGAACACUGGUCCUUGAUGUGUAGGAUAGGUGGGAGGCUUUGAAGUGUGGACGCCAGUCUGCAUGGAGCCGUCCUUGAAAUACCACCCUUUAAUGGCUGGUGUUCUAACGUAGACCCGUAAUCCGGGUUGCGGACAGUGUCUGGUGGGUAGUUUGACUGGGGCGGUCUCCUCCCAAAGAGUAACGGAGGAGCACGAAGGUUAGCUAAUCCUGGUCGGACAUCAGGAGGUUAGUGCAAUGGCAUAAGCUAGCUUGACUGCGAGAGUGACGGCUCGAGCAGGUGCGAAAGCAGGUCAUAGUGAUCCGGUGGUUCUGAAUGGAAGGGCCAUCGCUCAACGGAUAAAAGGUACUCCGGGGAUAACAGGCUGAUACCGCCCAAGAGUUCAUAUCGACGGCGGUGUUUGGCACCUCGAUGUCGGCUCAUCACAUCCUGGGGCUGAAGUAGGUCCCAAGGGUAUGGCUGUUCGCCAUUUAAAGUGGUACGCGAGCUGGGUUUAGAACGUCGUGAGACAGUUCGGUCCCUAUCUGCCGUGGGCGCUGGAGAAUUGAGGGGGGCUGCUCCUAGUACGAGAGGACCGGAGUGGACGCAUCACUGGUGUUCGGGUUGUCAUGCCAAUGGCACUGCCCGGUAGCUAAAUGCGGAAAAGAUAAGUGCUGAAAGCAUCUAAGCACGAAACUUGCCCCGAGAUGAGUUCUCCCUGAGACUUUAAGUCUCCUGAAGGAACGUUGAAGACGACGACGUUGAUAGGUCGGGUGUGUAAGCGCAGCGAUGCGUUGAGCUAACCGAUACUAAUGAACCGUGAGGCUUAACCUU